rnacentral:pre_miRNA from 1 species
AGUCUUCUGUAUCCGUGCUGAGAUUUCGUCACAUACCAGACCACAAGGGCUGAUGAGACUUCCAAUAUAAGUGAAGCG